GAUGAAGAACGUAGCGAAUUGCGAUAAGUAAUGUGAAUUGCAGAUUUUCAGUGAAUCAUCGAAUCUUUGAACGCACCUUGCGCCCUUUGGUGUUCCGAAGGGCAUGCCUGUUUGAGUGUCAUGAAUAUCAUCAACCCUUGGCUUGCUUUGGCAAGCUCUUGGGCUUGGACUUGGGAGCUGCUGGUGACCCCCCCAGGUCGUCGGCUCUUCUGAAAAACAUUAGCGAGUCGUCGUGACGGCCCUUUGACGUGAUAACGAUCGUCGGCGGGGCUGGAGCGAUCUCGCUUCGAAUCCCUACUAUCUAAUCACACUUGACCUCAAAUCAGGUAGGACUACCCGCUGAACUUAAGCAUAUCAAUAAGCGGAGGAAAAGAAACUAACAAGGAUUCCCCUAGUAACUGCGAGUGAAGCGGGAUGAGCUCAAAUUUUGAAUCUGGCGGUGCUCGUCGCCGUCCGAGUUGUAAUCUAGAGAAGCGUCUUCCGCGCUGGCCCGUGUACAAGUCUCCUGGAAGGGAGCGUCACAGAGGGUGAGAAUCCCGUCUUUGACACGGACUACCAGUGCUAUGUGAUGCGCUCUCGACGAGUCGAGUUGUUUGGGAAUGCAGCUCAAAUUGGGUGGUAAACUCCAUCUAAAGCUAAAUACAGGCGAGAGACCGAUAGCGAACAAGUACCGUGAGGGAAAGAUGAAAAGGACUCUGGAAAGAGAGUUAAACAGUAUGUGAAAUUGCUGGAAGGGAAACGCUUGAUGUCCAGUCGCGUCCAUCGGGAAUCAGCCUUGCUUCGUCGCUUGGUGCACUUUCCGGUAGACGGGUCAGCACCAGUUUCGUUCGUCGUACAAGGUCGGAGGGAAUGUGGCACUCCACGGAGUGUGUUAUAGCCUUUCGUCGUAUGCGUCGGACGGGACUGAGGGAACUCAGCGCGGUCAACGCGCG
rnacentral:rRNA from 1 species